rnacentral:rRNA from 1 species
GAUGAACGCUAGCUACAGGCUUAACACAUGCAAGUCGCGGGGCAGCAUGGGGGUUGCUUGCAAUCCCCGAUGGCGACCGGCGCACGGGUGAGUAACGCGUAUCCAACCUGCCCUUCACCACGGGAUAACCCGGCGAAAGUCGGACUAAUACCGUAUGUUGUCCAUUGACGGCAUCCGAUUUGGACGAAAGGUUUGGCGGUGAAGGAUGGGGAUGCGUCCGAUUAGCUGGACGGCGGGGUGACGGCCCACUGUGGCGACGAUCGGUAGGGGUUCUGAGAGGAAGGUCCCCCACACUGGAACUGAGACACGGUCCAGACUCCUACGGGAGGCAGCAGUGAGGAAUAUUGGUCAAUGGGCGUAAGCCUGAACCAGCCAAGUAGCGUGCAGGAUGACGGCCCUAUGGGUUGUAAACUGCUUUUAUGCGGGGAUAAAGUGGCCCACGUGUGGGUUUUUGCAGGUACCGCAUGAAUAAGGACCGGCUAAUUCCGUG